rnacentral:rRNA from 1 species
GGAGCAUGUGGCUUAAUUUGACUCAACGCGGGAAAUCUUACCGGGUCCGGACACACUGAGGAUUGACAGGCAAUAUCUCAUGGUUAUUAACCCGGUUAUUACAUUUUGUUUAAUCGGUUAUUAAGCAUCGAGUGUUAAAUAUGCUAGUCCUUUCAUGAUUAUGUGAUAGGUGGUGCAUGGCCGUUCUUAGUUCGUGGAGUGAUCUGUCUGCUUAAUUGCGUUUCACUAAGGGCCCAUAAAUUCAAGGUAUGUUAGCUAUCGUCGCUCUAUGGACCCCUUAUACUCGAUUUCGCUUUAAUUAGCGUUAUUUGUUUAA